rnacentral:rRNA from 1 species
GACGAACGCUGGCGGCGUGCUUAACACAUGCAAGUCGAACGGAAAGGCCCUGCUUUUGUGGGGUGCUCGAGUGGCGAACGGGUGAGUAACACGUGAGUAACCUGCCCUUGACUUUGGGAUAACUUCAGGAAACUGGGGCUAAUACCGGAUAGGAGCUCCUGCUGCAUGGUGGGGGUUGGAAAGUUUCGGCGGUUGGGGAUGGACUCGCGGCUUAUCAGCUUGUUGGUGGGGUAGUGGCUUACCAAGGCUUUGACGGGUAGCCGGCCUGAGAGGGUGACCGGCCACAUUGGGACUGAGAUACGGCCCAGACUCCUACGGGAGGCAGCAGUGGGGAAUAUUGCACAAUGGGCGGAAGCGUGAUGCAGCAACGCCGCGUGCGGGAUGACGGCCUUCGGGUUGUAAACCGCUUUCGCCUGUGACGAAGCGUGAGUGACGGGAAUGGGUAAAGAAGCACCGGCUAACUACGG